CAUCGAGUGGCCUAAUGGUCAGUCAUCUAGAUUCAAUCUAGAAUACGUGGGUUCGAUUCCCACCGUGGGUG